rnacentral:rRNA from 1 species
CAGUAGCCGCGGUAAUACAGAGGAUGCAAGCGUUAUCCGGAAUGAUUGGGCGUAAAGCGUCUGUAAGUGGCUUUUCAAGUCCGUCGUCAAAUCCCAGGGCUCAACCCUGGACAGGCGGUGGAAACUACCAAGAUGGAGUACGGUAGGGGCAGAGGGAAUUUUCGGUGGAGCGGUGAAAUGCGUUGAGAUCGGAAAGAACACCAACGGCGAAAGCACUCUGCUGGGCCGACACUGACACUGAGAGACGAAAGCUAGGGGAGCAAAUGGGAUUAGAUACCCCCGUAGUCCCUGUCUCUUAUAC